ACCUUCCUCCUUUUGUUUUGCUCAUUCUGAAUAUCAGUGUCUUCUUUGUUGAACCUUUCUCUCUUUUGAUUGUGACUGGCUUUCAGAGUGUUCUUUUCUGAGGUGACUUUUAUCAGGCUGGAACGGAGGCCGGCGUUCUCUUUUUCUAACUUCUUGGUGGUUUCUUUAAGGCGAUCCACUUCAUAAACGAUGAUAGUAGGUGGUUUGAUGGUCUUGAUACACAUGGA
rnacentral:lncRNA from 1 species